GAUGAACACUGGCGGCGUGCCUAAUACAUGCAAGUCGAGCGAACGGACGAGAAGCUUGCUUCUCUGAUGUUAGCGGCGGACGGGUGAGUAACACGUGGAUAACCUACCUAUAAGACUGGGAUAACUUCGGGAAACCGGAGCUAAUACCGGAUAAUAUUUUGAACCGCAUGGUUCAAAAGUGAAAGACGGUCUUGCUGUCACUUAUAGAUGGAUCCGCGCUGCAUUAGCUAGUUGGUAAGGUAACGGCUUACCAAGGCAACGAUGCAUAGCCGACCUGAGAGGGUGAUCGGCCACACUGGAACUGAGACACGGUCCGGACUCCUACGGGAGGCAGCAGUAGGGAAUCUUCCGCAAUGGGCGAAAGCCUGACGGAGCAACGCCGCGUGAGUGAUGAAGGUCUUCGGAUCGUAAAACUCUGUUAUUAGGGAAGAACAUAUGUGUAAGUAACUGUGCACAUCUUGACGGUACCUAAUCAGAAAGCCACGGCUAACUACGUG
rnacentral:rRNA from 1 species